rnacentral:rRNA from 1 species
GUGUCAGCCGCCGCGGUAAUACGUAGGGUGCGAGCGUUAAUCGGAAUUACUGGGCGUAAAGCGUGCGCAGGCGGUUCUGUAAGUCAGAUGUGAAAUCCCCGGGCUCAACCUGGGAACUGCGUUUGAAACUACAGGACUAGAGUAUGGCAGAGGGGGGUAGAAUUCCACGUGUAGCAGUGAAAUGCGUAGAGAUGUGGAGGAAUACCAAUGGCGAAGGCAGCCCCCUGGGUCAAUACUGACGCUCAUGCACGAAAGCGUGGGGAGCAAACAGGAUUAGAUACCCCCGUAGUCC